rnacentral:rRNA from 1 species
UACGAAGGGGGCUAGCGUUGCUCGGAAUCACUGGGCGUAAAGCGCACGUAGGCGGCUUCUGAAGUCAGGGGUGAAAUCCUGGAGCUCAACUCCAGAACUGCCUUUGAUACUGAGGAGCUUGAGUCCGGGAGAGGUGAGUGGAACUGCGAGUGUAGAGGUGAAAUUCGUAGAUAUUCGCAAGAACACCAGUGGCGAAGGCGGCUCACUGGCCCGGUACUGACGCUGAGGUGCGAAAGCGUGGGGAGCAAACAGG